rnacentral:rRNA from 1 species
AUUGAACGCUGGCGGCAGGCCUAACACAUGCAAGUCGAGCGAGCGGCGGACGGGUGAGUAAUGUAUGGGGACUGCCCGAUAGAGGGGGGUAAAUACUGGGAAAGGUAGCUUAUACCGCAUACUAUCGGAUAACCCAUAUGGGAUUAGCUAGUAGGGGAGGUAAUGGCCCACCUAGGCGACGGUCCCUAGCUGGUCUGAGAGGAUGAUCAGCCACACUGGAACUGAGACACGGCCCAGACUCCUACGGAGGCAGCAGUGGGGAAUAUUGCACAAUGGGCGCAAGCCUGAUGCAGCCAUGCCGCGUGUGUGAAGAAGGCCCUAGGGUUGUAAAGUACUUUCAGUCGGGAGGCGUUACCGGCAGAAGAAGCACCGGCUAACUCCGUGCCAGCAGCCGCGGUAAUUC